UGGGGAAUAUUGGACAAUGGGCGCAAGCCUGAUCCAGCCAUGCCGCGUGAGUGAUGAAGGCCCUAGGGUUGUAAAGCUCUUUCACCGGUGAAGAUAAUGACGGUAACCGGAGAAGAAGCCCCGGCUAACUUCGUGCCAGCAGCCGCGGUAAUACGAAGGGGGCUAGCGUUGUUCGGAAUUACUGGGCGUAAAGCGCACGUAGGCGGACAUUUAAGUCAGGGGUGAAAUCCCGGGGGCUCAACCCCGGAACUGCCUUUGAUACUGGGUGUCUAGAGUUCGAGAGAGGUGAGUGGAAUUCCGAGUGUAGAGGUGAAAUUCGUAGAUAUUCGGAGGAACACCAGUGGCGAAGGCGGCUCACUGGCUCGAUACUGACGCUGAGGUGCGAAAGCGUGGGGAGCAAAACAGGAUUAGAUACCCUGGUAGUCCACGCCGUAAACGAUGGAAGCCAGCUGUCGGCAAGUUUACUUGUCGGUGGCGCAGCUAACGCAUUAAGCUUCCCGCCUGGGGAGUACGGUCGCAAGAUUAAAACUCAAAGGAAUUGACGGGGUCAUAGCUGUUUCCUG
rnacentral:rRNA from 1 species